rnacentral:tRNA from 1 species
GCCCCCAUAGCUCAAAGGAAGAGCGUAGCCCUGCGGAGGCUAAGAUCCCUGUUCGAAUCAGGGUGGGGGCACAA